rnacentral:rRNA from 1 species
AUAGGGGGCAAGCGUUGUCCGGAAUCACUGGGCGUAAAGGGCGCGCAGGCGGUAAAUUAAGUCAGGUGUGAAAGUUCGGGGCUCAACCCCGUGAUUGCACCUGAUACUGAUAAACUAGAGUGUUGGAGAGGUAAGUGGAAUUCCUAGUGUAGCGGUGGAAUGCGUAGAUAUUAGGAGGAACACCAGUGGCGAAGGCGACUUACUGGCCAAUAACUGACGCUGAGGCGCGAAAGCGUGGGGAGCAAACAGGGAUUAGAUACCCUGGUAGUCCACGCCGUAAACGAUGAGUACUAGGUGUUGGUUGUUUCGAAACAAUCGGUGCCCGGAGUAAACACAAUAAGUACUCCGCCUGGGGAGUACGGUCGCAAGACUG